CGGGCCUGUCCCAGCAGUUCUGAGAGGAGCCAGGAGCUGAGGCUGUGGGAGCUCAAAAACCUCACCUGAGUUCUGAGAACUGUGCGACCCGGUGGGGGGACAGUCCCUGAGUGCUCCGUGUCCCUGGGAAGACAGGGAUAAAGUAUGGCGCUGAGCAGAUAGAUGCAGACUCCUGUUUAUCAGAUGAGUGAAUGAAGGGGACUUGGGUGCAUUUUCUGACUGCACUGGGUGGGAGAAGAGGAAAAUGUGAAUUACUUUCUUGUGAUCUGAUAGAGAAAGAGCCGCAGAGCUGUGGAGGGGUGCAGAGAUGCUGGCUACAGUGUGGUUUCUAAGACAACCUAUUCUCAAGUGAGAAAGCCGGUCAGACUUACAGGUGUC